UGUGUAAGUGUGCAUUAGUACAUGCUAACGAUAUUCAAAAAGCACAUACCUCAAAGAAAACGAUGACGCGAGUUAUCGUCUCUAACGUUCGAGGACUACAAAAAACACUCGGAUUGUAGGCAACAGUUUACUUCCUGGGAUUAGUGACGUAGAUAAGACCAACAUUAUCAUAGUUCAGCCCUCUCUGCUUUGCUUGGGUACGCCCUCAAAGACGAGGGUGGGGUGGGGAGCGCCGAGUCAGAAGAGAGCUAAAAUGGCGGAGGUUGUGAGUCCCUGCUUUGACUCUGUUUGCAAACUCUUGUUUCAUUGUUUAAGCGAUUAAAUCUCUCGAGUAGACGCUGUCUCUUUAGAUGCGAGGGCAAAAUAGCACAUUAUGGACUUCCACAGAGGACAUCAUGUUUAAUACGGUUCCGGAAAAAUCCAGUCAGAAGUUGUUCACGGAGUUUUCACAAUAACUGCUUCUCAUGAACCGAAGCUGGAUUUGCGCGACGUCUCCUCUUGAAAGUUGGAUUACUGUGCACUUCUGGAUCACAGACUAUUCGCAGCUGUACACAUCCUUCUACACUGUAUGCAAACAUGCAACAUCAUUACACACAGUACAAGGAGUCAGACUGGCAUAUGAGGAGCAAAGGAACCCAGGCAGUAGCAUCGUUUCACAAUGUUUCCAUCACCAUCAUCAGUGGAUGCCUUUGCCGUCCGUAGCCUGAGAUUUCAGAUUUGCAGCAAAAAAAAAUUUUUCUCAUUUAUUGGAAUGCUGUGCAGGUAUUUGUACCUUGCAGCCAUCCAUUACAAUGUCACCAAGCCGUAACAAAAGCAGGAGAGGGAAAGUACAAGGCUAUGUUCCCAAAACACAAAUGACAUACCUUAUGUGGAGGAUGUGAUCAGGCUUGUGUUUGAUGAGGUAUUUGAAGAUAAGCUGAAGGAAACCCCGAUUCCAAUGGACCUGGCAUCACAGUUUGAGAGACCUUCAAAGGAGGACGUGAUUGCAUGCCAUCUUCAGUG